CAGUAGCCGCGGGAAUACGAGGGGGGCGAGCGUUGUUCGGAAUUAUUGGGCGUAAAGGGUGCGUAGGCGGUUUGACAAGUCUUAUGUGAGAUCUCUGGGCUCAACCUAGAGUCUGCAUGGGAAACUGUCGGGCUUGAGUAUGGGAGAGGUGAGUGGAAUUUCCGGUGUAGCGGUGAAAUGCGUAGAUAUCGGAAGGAACACCUGUGGCGAAAGCGGCUCACUGGACCAUUACUGACGCUGAUGCACGAAAGCUAGGGGAGCAAACAGGAUUAGAUACCCCCGUAGUCCCUGUCUCUUAUAU
rnacentral:rRNA from 1 species